GACGAACGCUGGCGGCGUGCUUAACACAUGCAAGUCGAACGGAAAGGCCCUGCUUUUGUGGGGUGCUCGAGUGGCGAACGGGUGAGUAACACGUGAGUAACCUGCCCUUGACUUUGGGAUAACUUCAGGAAACUUGGGCUAAUACCGGAUAGGAGCUCCUGCUGCAUGGUGGGUGUUGGAAAGUUUCGGCGGUUGGGGAUGGACUCGCGGCUUAUCAGCUUGUUGGUGGGUUAGUGGCUUACCAAGGCUUUGACGGGUAGCCGGCCUGAGAGGGUGACCGGCAAAAUUGGGAAUGAGAUACGGCCCAGAAUACUACGGGAGGAAGCAGUGGGGAAUAUUGAACAAUGGGCGGAAGCCUGAUGCAGCAACGCCGCGUGCGGGAUGACGGCCUUCGGGUUGUAAACCGCUUUCGCCUGUGACGAAGAGUGAGUGACGGUAAUGGGUAAAGAAGCACAGGAUAACUACGUG
rnacentral:rRNA from 1 species